rnacentral:misc_RNA from 1 species
AGGUUGAAGAAAUUAUGUACCAGGUAUGUUUUUUUGAUAAUAUGACAUUAAGUUGUUUGAAGACUUUUGAAACUUGAAAGGGCUAAGCGUCUACCCCUUAAAUCCCCAGUGGGCAGCUAGAUGCCAUGGCCAGAAUGAUCAGUGCUUACUUUCUUCUGAAACUACGUUGGUUGCUGCUGAGAGUGUUGUGCUCUCCUUGUGAAGUUGGCUGUCAUUGUUUAUUGCUUUUUCCAGGAAUGAUCGUCUGCAUUUAGACCCUUAUCUUUGUUUAUGUGAACCCAUUUCUUUUUUUGGCUAUUGUCACCAUCUAGUUGAAUUGGUUAGUUCUAUUGGUUCUAUU